CAGCCGCCACGGUAAUACGGAGGGGGCUAGCGUUGUUCGGAAUUACUGGGCGUAAAGCGCACGUAGGCGGCUUGGUAAGUUAGAGAUGAAAGCCCGGAGCUCAACUCCGGAAUUGCCUUUAAGACUGCCGAGCUAGUAGGUGAGAGUGGUAAGUGGAAUUCCGAGUGUAGAGGUGAAAUUCGUAGAGAUGUGGAGGAACACCAGUGGCGAAGGCGACUCUCUGGUCUGUAACUGACGCUGAAGAGCGAAAGCGUGGGGAGCGAACAGGAUUAGAGACCCCAGUAGUCCCUGUCUCUUAUAC
rnacentral:rRNA from 1 species